AGAACUUAGCAGAGAUGCUUUGGUGCCUUCGGGAACUCUGAGACAGGUGCUGCAUGGCUGUCGUCAGCUCGUGUUGUGAAAUGUUGGGUUAAGUCCCGCAACGAGCGCAACCCUUAUCCUUUGUUGCCAGCGAUUCGGUCGGGAACUCAAAGGAGACUGCCAGUGAUAAACUGGAGGAAGGUGGGGAUGACGUCAAGUCAUCAUGGCCCUUACGAGUAGGGCUACACACGUGCUACAAUGGCGCAUACAAAGAGAAGCGACCUCGCGAGAGCAAGCGGACCUCAUAAAGUGCGUCGUAGUCCGGAUUGGAGUCUGCAACUCGACUCCAUGAAGUCGGAAUCGCUAGUAAUCGUAGAUCAGAAUGCUACGGUGAAUACGUUCCCGGGCCUUGUACACACCGCCCGUCACACCAUGGGAGUGGGUUGCAAAAGAAGUAGGUAGCUUAACUUUCGGGAGGGCGCUUACCACUUUGUGAUUCAUGACUGGGGUGAAGUCGUAACAAGGUAAGCGUAGUGCU
rnacentral:rRNA from 1 species